AGGACAUCCAAGUGAGCUGCCCUCCUUUGCUAAACAGAGGAGGAAGGAAGGCCCAGGAACAGCCUUAAAAGAAAGAUGGUGGUUUUCCUUUUCGAGAGGCGAGGAAACAUCCGCUCAGUCUUUAUGGACCUUGAGAAAUGGUGAGGCUUCCCCUCCCCCCGUCUCUGCCUCCCGGCCGGGCGUGCAAAUGGCAGGUGCGGGGGCAGGUCGGCGGGCAGCUCGUGGCCCUCCAGCUUGACCU
rnacentral:lncRNA from 1 species